AGUCGAGCGCUUCACUUCGGUGAGGAGCGGCAGACGGGUGAGUAACGCGUGGGAACAUACCUAAUAGUACGGAAUAACGAUUGGAAACGAUCGCUAAUACCGUAUACGCCCUUCGGGGGAAAGAUUUAUCGCUAUUAGAUUGGCCCGCGUUGGAUUAGAUAGUUGGUGAGGUAACGGCUCACCAAGGCGACGAUCUAUAGCUGGUCUGAGAGGAUGAUCAGCCACACUGGGACUGAGACACGGCCCAGACUCCUACGGGAGGCAGCAGUGGGGAAUAUUGGACAAUGGGCGCAAGCCUGAUCCAGCCAUGCCGCGUGAGUGAUGAAGGCCUUAGGGUUGUAAAGCUCUUUCGCUAGGGAAGAUAAUGACGGUACCUAGUAAAGAAGCCCCGGCUAACUUCGUGCCAGCAGCCGCGGUAAUACGAAGGGGGCUAACGUUGUUCGGAUUUACUGGGCGUAAAGCGUACGUAGGCGGAUUAGUAAGUUAGGGGUGAAAUCCCGAGGCUCAACCUCGGAACUGCCUUUAAUACUGCUAAUCUAGAGAUCGGGAGAGGUGUAUGGAACUCCUAGUGUAGAGGUGGAAUUCGUAGAUAUUAGGAAGAACACCAGUGGCGAAGGCGA
rnacentral:rRNA from 1 species